AUUGAACGCUGGCGGCAUGCUUUACACAUGCAAGUCGAACGGCAGCACGGACUUCGGUCUGGUGGCGAGUGGCGAACGGGUGAGUAAUACAUCGGAACGUGCCCAGUUGUGGGGGAUAACUACUCGAAAGAGUAGCUAAUACCGCAUGAGAACUGAGGUUGAAAGCAGGGGAUCGUAAGACCUUGCGCAACUGGAGCGGCCGAUGGCAGAUUAGGUAGUUGGUGGGAUAGAAGCUUACCAAGCCGACGAUCUGUAGCUGGUCUGAGAGGACGACCAGCCACACUGGGACUGAGACACGGCCCAGACUCCUACGGGAGGCAGCAGUGGGGAAUUUUGGACAAUGGGCGAAAGCCUGAUCCAGCAAUGCCGCGUGCAGGAUGAAGGCCUUCGGGUUGUAAACUGCUUUUGUACGGAACGAAAAGCUUCGGGCUAAUACCCUGGAGUCAUGACGGUACCGUAAGAAUAAGCACCGGCUAACUACGUGCCAGCCGCCGCAGUAACAC
rnacentral:rRNA from 1 species